ACACUUCAAGAGUUUUGUUUAUGGCUCAGAGCCCUGAUGGGUGUACAGUAGCAUCUGCAGCCGCAGAUGAAACUCUGAGGUUUUGGAAUGUCUUUGGAGCUCCUGAAGCAGCUAAGCCAACACCAAAAGCAAACACUGAGCCAUUUGGCAACUUAACUCGCAUCAGAUAAACAAGGUUGCAGCCUUUAUCGGUGUAAAUGAAUGUUGCCAUCUGGCAUUCGACAAACUAAUAACAAGAUUGAACAAAAAAAUAUUGGGUUAUUUUGUAUAUUCUGUGUAUAAAUGCCCUCCACCUCGGAGGAGUUGUCCACUUAUUCCAUGUCAAAGACCCAUAUUGUAUCCCUCCAUUGUGUGUAUCUUUCCCUCCUUGGGGUUAUAUAACAUUAAUUAAAAGAAGUGCCUUCUCUUGCUUCCUUAA